UUAAGCGACUAAGCGUACACGGUGGAUGCCCUGGCAGUCAGAGGCGAUGAAGGACGUGCUAAUCUGCGAAAAGCGUCGGUAAGGUGAUAUGAACCGUUAUAACCGGCGAUGUCCGAAUGGGGAAACCCAGUGCAAUUCGUUGCACUAUCGUUAACUGAAUACAUAGGUUAACGAGGCGAACCGGGGGAACUGAAACAUCUAAGUACCCCGAGGAAAAGAAAUCAACCGAGAUUCCCCCAGUAGCGGCGAGCGAACGGGGAGCAGCCCAGAGUCUGAAUCAGCUUGUGUGUUAGUGGAACGGUCUGGAAAGUCCGACGGUACAGGGUGAUAGUCCCGUACACCAAAAUGCACAGGCUGUGAACUCGAAGAGUAGGGCGGGACACGUGGUAUCCUGUCUGAAUAUGGGGGGACCAUCCUCCAAGGCUAAAUACUCCUGACUGACCGAUAGUGAACCAGUACCGUGAGGGAAAGGCGAAAAGAACCCCGGCGAGGGGAGUGAAAAAGAACCUGAAACCGUGUACGUACAAGCAGUGGGAGCACCUUCGGGUGUGACUGCGUACCUUUUGUAUAAUGGGUCAGCGACUUAUAUUCUGUAGCAAGGUUAACCGUAUAGGGGAGCCGCAGGGAAACCGAGUCUUAACUGGGCGUUAAGUUGCAGGGUAUAGACCCGAAACCCGGUGAUCUAGCCAUGGGCAGGUUGAAGGUUGGGUAACACUAACUGGAGGACCGAACCGACUAAUGUUGAAAAAUUAGCGGAUGACUUGUGGCUGGGGGUGAAAGGCCAAUCAAACCGGGAGAUAGCUGGUUCUCCCCGAAAGCUAUUUAGGUAGCGCCUCGUGAAUUCAUCUUCGGGGGUAGAGCACUGUUUCGGCUAGGGGGUCAUCCCGACUUACCAACCCGAUGCAAACUACGAAUACCGAAGAAUGUUAUCACGGGAGACACACGGCGGGUGCUAACGUCCGUCGUGAAGAGGGAAACAACCCAGACCGCCAGCUAAGGUCCCAAAGUCAUGGUUAAGUGGGAAACGAUGUGGGAAGGCACAGACAGCCAGGAUGUUGGCUUAGAAGCAGCCAUCAUUUAAAGAAAGCGUAAUAGCUCACUGGUCGAGUCGGCCUGCGCGGAAGAUGUAACGGGGCUAAACCAUGCACCGAAGCUGCGGCAGCGACACUAUGUGUUGUUGGGUAGGGGAGCGUUCUGUAAGCCUGCGAAGGUGACCUGUGAGGGUUGCUGGAGGUAUCAGAAGUGCGAAUGCUGACAUAAGUAACGAUAAAGCGGGUGAAAAGCCCGCUCGCCGGAAGACCAAGGGUUCCUGUCCAACGUUAAUCGGGGCAGGGUGAGUCGACCCCUAAGGCGAGGCCGAAAGGCGUAGUCGAUGGGAAACAGGUUAAUAUUCCUGUACUUGGUGUUACUGCGAAGGGGGGACGGAGAAGGCUAUGUUAGCCGGGCGACGGUUGUCCCGGUUUAAGCAUGUAGGCUGGUUAUCCAGGCAAAUCCGGAUAAUCAAGGCUGAGGUGUGAUGACGAGGCACUACGGUGCUGAAGUAACAAAUGCCCUGCUUCCAGGAAAAGCCUCUAAGCAUCAGGUAACAUCAAAUCGUACCCCAAACCGACACAGGUGGUCAGGUAGAGAAUACCAAGGCGCUUGAGAGAACUCGGGUGAAGGAACUAGGCAAAAUGGUGCCGUAACUUCGGGAGAAGGCACGCUGGUGUGUAGGUGAAGCCCCUGCGGGUGGAGCUGAGACCAGUCGAAGAUACCAGCUGGCUGCAACUGUUUAUUAAAAACACAGCACUGUGCAAACACGAAAGUGGACGUAUACGGUGUGACGCCUGCCCGGUGCCGGAAGGUUAAUUGAUGGGGUUAUCCGUAAGGAGAAGCUCUUGAUCGAAGCCCCGGUAAACGGCGGCCGUAACUAUAACGGUCCUAAGGUAGCGAAAUUCCUUGUCGGGUAAGUUCCGACCUGCACGAAUGGCGUAAUGAUGGCCAGGCUGUCUCCACCCGAGACUCAGUGAAAUUGAACUCGCUGUGAAGAUGCAGUGUACCCGCGGCAAGACGGAAAGACCCCGUGAACCUUUACUAUAGCUUGACACUGAACAUUGAGCCUUGAUGUGUAGGAUAGGUGGGAGGCUUUGAAGCGUGGACGCCAGUCUGCGUGGAGCCAACCUUGAAAUACCACCCUUUAAUGUUUGAUGUUCUAACGUUGGCCCCUGACCGGGGUUGCGGACAGUGUCUGGUGGGUAGUUUGACUGGGGCGGUCUCCUCCCAAAGCGUAACGGAGGAGCACGAAGGUUAGCUAAUCCUGGUCGGACAUCAGGAGGUUAGUGCAAUGGCAUAAGCUAGCUUGACUGCGAGCGUGACGGCGCGAGCAGGUGCGAAAGCAGGUCAUAGUGAUCCGGUGGUUCUGAAUGGAAGGGCCAUCGCUCAACGGAUAAAAGGUACUCCGGGGAUAACAGGCUGAUACCGCCCAAGAGUUCAUAUCGACGGCGGUGUUUGGCACCUCGAUGUCGGCUCAUCACAUCCUGGGGCUGAAGUAGGUCCCAAGGGUAUGGCUGUUCGCCAUUUAAAGUGGUACGCGAGCUGGGUUUAGAACGUCGUGAGACAGUUCGGUCCCUAUCUGCCGUGGGCGCUGGAGAAUUGAGGGGGGCUGCUCCUAGUACGAGAGGACCGGAGUGGACGCAUCACUGGUGUUCGGGUUGUCAUGCCAAUGGCACUGCCCGGUAGCUAAAUGCGGAAGAGAUAAGUGCUGAAAGCAUCUAAGCACGAAACUUGCCCCGAGAUGAGUUCUCCCUGAGACUUUAAGUCUCCUGAAGGAACGUUAAAGACGAUGACGUUGAUAGGCCGGGUGUGUAAGCGCAGCGAUGCGUUGAGCUAACCGGUACUAAUGAACCGUGAGGCUUAACCUU
rnacentral:rRNA from 1 species